AGUCAAGAAUCAAUCUCCAUUUACUGCAGGAUUCUGGGCUGUUGGGUGGAUCCUGUAUUCCCUUCCCCUCAUGGAUCAGCUGUGCCCUGUGUUUCUUUAGAAGUGCAGCUGGGAAGCGUUCAGCUCCAACCAGAACACGUGGCAGGACUUGGACCGAGCUGAGGGAGUGGAGCAGUCAGCAGAGAGCACGAGGAUAUAUCAAUAAAGUUUAAAAGAGAGAUAUAGACACAUUCCACUAGCAGCACCUUUAUGGAUGUUACAAUAUGGGGUCAGACAACAAUCAGAUUCUCCAAGGCAUUGAAACUGAACGGAUUAGUCUCCUUUACUUCUUAUCCAGAAACUCAGAGACAACUCACCUCAGUGAGGUCGAAUUGGAAUAAACACACAUCAGGUGUGAAGAAAUAAAUCUUUUUGCUCCUGAGGGCUGGCAUCGUGCAUGAGAGGGGAUGGAUGGAUCCUUCCUGGUACACUUCUGUUGUUCCAGCCCAGGUUAUUAAAACCCAUGACUCUAGGGAUGGUGAGGCAGGGAAUCCAGAGAAGCCACAGAUCAUAUCGUUGUCUCACUUCUGGAGGAAAAUAACUUUCUUUAUAUUUACUUGAAUUUCAAACUCCACCUUGACAAAUGCAAGAUAAGCACAAUUUUGGACUACAGUGAAAGUGAAAUUUAUAUUGCGCCUCUAUGCCUUCACUGUUCCACUCUCAAAAGAGGAUAUGUAGUCAGGAGAGGUGACGUUUCACCCAUAACACUGGUCCCAUUUCCCCAAGCAAAAGAGGAAAGAAUGACAGAUUCAGCAUUCUUCUGGUAAUUUAUCCCUGCUCCUCAGUGUUUGGGUGUGAAAGACUCACAGAGCCCAUAAGCCUCCACUGUAGUUUUGAACAGUGAUUUCAAAAUGAGCUCGUUCUGCCAUGAUUCUUCUCAUGACACCUUCCAUGGUUUUUCCAGAUCAGCAACUUUCUAAUAGCAGCAGAGAAGGAAAGAGUAGCUCCAUAAAACAGCAUUAAACAAGGAGGCUCAUUGGUAAUUAAAGUGGGAAUUGAGGUAAAGGAAUAUUGGGUAAAGCCUGCUGGAAUGCCUCUUUGGGAUAUUUCAAACAGUUUUUUGAAAUAACAUUUCUGUCUCCUGGAGCUAAUUAUGCAUUUGCUCCACACUAAGCAGAAGGCUAAAUUAAUUGCGAGAACAAUAGUAAUUUGUUGCAGGU
rnacentral:lncRNA from 7 species